GUGGUAAGAAAUUUCCAAAAGCAAGCACAAUAACUUUUCUCAAAAAGUACUAUUAAUCAGCUCUAUAUAAUGCAAAACUCCAGUUUUACUUCACAACAACAAGAAAAUUGUGCCAAGAGUUUUGGUUAGGAAACCAAGCAAGACGUAGUUUUACUUCACUUCACAAUCACAACAUGUGUGAGAGGGUGACAAAUCUCUUAAUUAAGGUACUGUCCUACACACUUCUUUAUUCACGGACUUCUUAAACUCAUCAGUCAUCAGUGAAGGACGACAUACCUACAUUCUACAUUUUAAAUGUUUUUUUUUUAUUUUUUUAUUUUUGUGUUAGGUAAAAUUGGGUUUUUUUGAUGAUGUCAGGGUUCGAACCCUAGACCUUGCAUAUAUUAUAUAUUAUUCUUAUCAACUGAACUAAAUCCAGAUAAAAUUGGGUUUGGUUAUUACUUUGGGGGCCACAAAUUGGAUAUUUCAUAUUUGGUUAACCAUAAUGUUAGCUGAAUUGCUUAUAUUUGAUUUUCUUUUACCAGAAAAAGUUACCACUAGACCAUUGCAAGUUGCAACGGUUAUUUGAUUUUUUAAUAAUACUCUUUUCUGCAAGCUUCACAAUUCAAUCAUUGUUUAAUAGUUCCCCUCCAAAAAAAAAAGAUUGUUAAUGGUUGUUGUAUUUUGGAAUAUUUUCACGUUACUUUUCUUGAAGAUAAGGAAUUUUCUUCAGACAUGCUUGCUAAUAAUUCAUUGUCAUAGAAUUUAUGUUUGUCUCGAGAAGCAUUAUAUAUGUUUUUUUUUCUUCUGAGAUAUAUUUGUAUAUCUGUGCAAAACAGUAUAUAGACAAAUAUAUUGUCUAUAUAGAUAAAUAUGAAAAAGUUUGCCCUCUAUUAAUUGUUGCAUUUACCAGUAUCUUCUAAAGAUUCAUCAUUCUUGCACUUGAUCUGUCUCCAAUCAAUAUCAAAUAGCUAGGGACCACAACCAUUUGUCAAAUUGUCGUCAUAAUUAUCAUACUUAUAUUAAUUAUUUCAAAUUCCUCUUCACAAAGUAAUUAUUUCAAAUUCAAAUCUAAUUAAUUAACACCAAACUGGUUGAUAAGCCUCAAAUAUGAAAAGAAUUUUUGAAGUGGAGUUAGGUUCCUCUCUAUGUUGCUUGAGUGAGGAUAGGAGACAAGAGAUUUUAAUGGAGGGAGAAAUUUUAAAAUAUCAUGACCAUUCGUAAUGGUGGGUGCUUCAUUUAUUUAGCACCAUAUUAAAUAGACACCUCCAUUGUGAAAAGGAACAUAUCAAAGAUUACUUACACGUCAAUAGAAGAUAAACAACCAACAAGUUGU
rnacentral:lncRNA from 1 species